AACUGAGAGAAUUGUGUCUUCUGCUUUUUGAAGUAGACUGUCACACUCAGGCAGCCUGUCAAUGCUGAAUGUUAGGACUUCUGUCUCCGCUGGAGACACGGCCUGGUGCAAGUCAGCGUUUAGUGUUUGACAGCUUUCUCAGCACUCCCUGACUCCGUUUACCUUUACUCCGCAUCCCAUUCUCUUACUGCCUAUCUGAAGGAUUGGAUGGGCAGAGUAUAGGUGGCGGUGGUUGGUCCUCCCCGUAUGUUGUCCAUUUAAUUCCAGAGCACUGAUUUUUCCGAAGUGUGCUCUGCCCUGGGAAAAUGGACACAUGUUCCUCACAAUGGGAAUAACUAAUUACUUCUUUUCUUACAGAAAAAGUUGGUGAUUCAAGGAAAGCACAUUGCAAUGCAUUAUAGCAAUCCCAGACCUAAGUUUGAAGAUUGGCUUUGUAACAAGACUCUGAACAGGAAGUGCCUCCUGGAACCACAGAGUCGGUUCAGUCUGUGGAUUACUACUGUGAUACGAUCAUUCUUCGGAACAUAGCUCCGCACACUGUGGUGGAUUCCAUCAUGACAGCACUGUCUCCUU
rnacentral:sRNA from 1 species